rnacentral:rRNA from 1 species
AGAUUGAACGCUGGCGGCAGGCCUAACACAUGCAAGUCGAGCGGCAGCACGGGUACUUGUACCUGGUGGCGAGCGGCGGACGGGUGAGUAAUACCUAGGAAUCUGCCUGGUAGUGGGGGAUAACGUUCGGAAACGGACGCUAAUACCGCAUACGUCCUACGGGAGAAAGCAGGGGACCUUCGGGCCUUGCGCUAUCAGAUGAGCCUAGGUCGGAUUAGCUAGUUGGUGAGGUAAUGGCUCACCAAGGCUACGAUCCGUAACUGGUCUGAGAGGAUGAUCAGUCACACUGGAACUGAGACACGGUCCAGACUCCGUACGGGAGCAGCAGGUGGGAAUAGUGGACAAGUGGGACGAAAGCCUGACUCCGAG